rnacentral:rRNA from 1 species
AAUCAACGCUGGCGGCGUGCCUAACACAUGCAAGUCGAACGCGAAGACCCCGCAAGGGGUUGUUAGCGUGGCAAACGGGUGAGUAACGCGUGGGCGACCUACCUCAGAGUGGGGGAUAACCUUCCGAAAGGGAGGCUAAUACCGCAUGACACCCCAUGUUUGGAUACAUGGACAUCAAAGCCGGGGAUCGUAAGACCUGGCGCUUGGAGAGGGGCCCGCGUCCGAUUAGCUAGUUGGUGGGGAACGGCUCACCAAGGCUCCGAUCGGUAUCCGGCCUGAGAGGGCGGACGGACACACUGGAACUGAGACACGGUCCAGACUCCUACGGGAGGCAGCAGUGGGGAAUUGUUCGCAAUGGGCGCAAGCCUGACGCAGCGACGCCGCGUGAGGGAUGACGGCCU